AAGCUCGUAGUUGAAUUUCGGAAUUUGUCGGUUGGUCGGGCUUCACUGUCCGCACUGGCCUGAUAGAUUCUUACCUUCUGAAUAACCAGCAUGCUAUUAAUUUAGUGCGUUGGGGAAGCAGAGCUAUUACCUUGAAAAAAUUAGAGUGCUUAAAGCAGGCUUAUGCUUGAAUAGAUUAGCAUGGAAUAAUAAAAUAGGACGGCUUGGUUCUAUUUUGUUGGUUUCUAGGAUCACCGUAAUGAUUAAUAGGGAUAGUUGGG
rnacentral:rRNA from 1 species